AUGGACUGGAUUUGGAGGAUCCGCUUCUUGGUGGGAGCCACAGGUGCCCAUUCCCAGGUCCAGCUGGUGCAGUCUGGGGCUGAGGUGGAGAAGUCUGGGGCCUCAGUGAAGGUCUCCUGUAAGGCUUCCGGAUACACCUUCACCAACUACUUUAUGCAGUGGGUGCGACAGGCCCCUGGACAAGGACUUGAGUGGAUGGGAUGGGUCUACCUUGGAAAUGGUAACACAAACUAUGUGCAGAAGUUCCAGGGCAGAGUCACCAUGACCAGGGACGUGUCAACGAACACAGCCUACAUGGAGCUAGGGAGCCUGAGAUAUAAGGACAUGGCUGUGUAUUACUGUGCGAGAGACACAGUGUGAGAACCCAUAUCCUGAGAGUGUCAGAAACCCUGAGGGAGAAGGCAGCUGUGCUGGCAUGCAGGAGAUGACAAAGAUUAUUAGA